rnacentral:lncRNA from 1 species
AUGUACUUUGAGUCUGAAAGUUGUGGCAGCAAUACUGGUAUUUACUUUCUUGGGGAGAAGAGAGGAUUUACAAGGAAUGCAGUUUGCUGCAAGCCUGGUAAAUUUGUCUUGGCAGUGCUUCCUCUCUGCUCACUUGUUAAUGUAAAAGGAGGAUGGGGUGUCUGGAUCUCAUACCCCACACUUCUGAGAUCUGUGCUGUUCUACCUACAGGUUAACUGGACCUACCCACGAAGAAGGAAGCUAUUGAGUACUCAUUCAGCCUUUUUUUUUUUUUUUCCUGCUUCACCUACAUUAUUAUCUUGGAGAAUAUAUUUUUUAAAGAUUAUCAGGGUGGAUGCAGUCGCCAGGAGGAUGGCAAGUAGGUGUGGGAGCACUACAAAGCCUUUCCCUACAACAUUAAGAGGACACGCACUUCUCCCCAUCUUGUCUGCUGUCUACUACGUUGUCCCUUGAUUUUAUUCAGCAGUUAUCAAUCAUGAUGAUCAUCUCUGGAGCCAGGUCUCUUGUUGAUACUAACCAUCUGUCAUCUGGGUGAGAGGAGAAGACAUAGGAAAGACAACUUAAGAAAUGGAUUGUGGGUCAAAAGUCUCAUCUGUAAAAUCCUAACAUAGAAGCAUGCUGAAAAGGGAGGGAACAGGAGUAAGAACUGGGAAAACUUCUGCUUCAGGCAUUUGUUUGCUGGCGCAGUGCCCAGCAGGCACUGCAUUAGGCAGCUUGGACUGACAGCUUGUUUUCACGUCUGCAUUGCUACUUCAUCUCCUGGCCUGGGACGACAUCUGGCUGGCAUGUUCUUCUCCACACCCCAGGAAGAGGACUCCUGUUAGCUGGUUACUGCAGUUCUCAGCAUUAAAACAUCAAUCAGGCUGCAAGGUAGCAUGAGACUGAUUUAAAAAUAAUGAAAUUUAUGUACUGAGUUGAGCUUUGAGUUCUUUUUGUUUGCUUUCUGGCUCAGAAACCUUUAGAAUGUGUCAUGGAUAUAUUUUUUUGUUUUUCAUCAUGAUUGUGAAUGUUUAAAAGCACACACAAAAGAUAUAUUCUACAAGGUCAUGUUUAUGUCAAACUUAGAAAGAUCUGGAAAAUUUUUUAGGGAUCUGUAAAGUGGAAAAAAUAGAAAGCUUUUAAAAAUUCAGCGAUGAAAUUGCAGGAAACUGGGAGAGCGUGUAUAUUUGUCACUGAGUACACUGCAAAGCCUGCCACGUGCAAAGAGAGAAGAAAUGUCAUCAUUGCCCACUUGUUUCCUGAGAAGGUAAAUAGGGAAUUAGUGCCUGUGCCAGCCGGGGAAUGCAGCAGCCUGGCCCUGGGAGCGCUGGGCUGCACAGCCCUGGGAAAAGCUUUUCAAGCGUUAGGCGAAGCUCUGAUCCACAUUUACCGAGACGUCUUUGUACAUUCAAAUAAAAGUGUAGAAGUUCUCA